rnacentral:rRNA from 1 species
CCUACGGGUGGCAGCAGUGAGGAAUAUUGGUCAAUGGACGAGAGUCUGAACCAGCCAAGUAGCGUGAAGGAUGACUGCCCUAUGGGUUGUAAACUUCUUUUAUCUGGGAAUAAAGUGUGGCACGUGUGCCUUUUUGUAUGUACUCUAUGAAUAAGGAUCGGCUAACUCCGUGCCAGCAGCCGCGGUAAUACGGAGGUGACAAGCGUUAUCCGGAUUUAUUGGGCGUAAAGGGAGCGCAGGCGGUGUUUUAAGUCAGGUGUGAAAGCUUGCGGCUUAACCGUAAAAUUGCAGUUGAAACUGGCAGUCUUGAGUGCAGUAGAGGAGGGUGGAACUCGUGGUGUAGCGGUGAAAUGCGUAGAUAUAUGGAAGAACUCCAAUUGCGAAGGCAGCUCACUGGACUGUAACUGACGCUGAGGUUCGAAAGCGUGGGUAGCAAACAGGAUUAGAUACCCGGGUAGUC